rnacentral:rRNA from 1 species
UACGGAGGGUGCGAGCGUCGUCCGGAAUCAUUGGGCGUAAAGGGCGCGUAGGUGGCGCGGCAAGCGUGCGGUGAAAGCUCGGGGCUCAACCCCGAGUCGGCCGUGCGAACUGCUGUGCUUGAGCACUGUAGAGGCAGGCGGAAUUCCGGGUGUAGCGGUGGAAUGCGUAGAGAUCCGGAAGAACACCGGUGGCGAAGGCGGCCUGCUGGGCAGUGGCUGACACUGAGGCGCGACAGCGUGGGGAGCAAACAGG